rnacentral:misc_RNA from 1 species
CUACAUAAUUUUUUUGGUGCUGAAAAUAGUGAACGCACUACUUCAUUAACUUGUUUCUAGUUACCUAUUUUCUUUUUUGAAAUUGAUUUUUUUGAGAAAUUUAUCACUAUUGUUUGGAAACAUUUUAGUGUUUCUGCUUCCUGAUCGGGAUAUGAAGUUAACCAUGAUUCAUUAACAUGAAUUAGUAAGACAAAAGUUCUAAGCGCUUGAGAUCCUGGGCCUGAAGUGAACAUGUCUGCAUGCUAUCUCUCAAUACAAUGUGAACACUAAUUGUUUCGGGGCCCAUAUUAAAUUUUUUUCAUCUCUUUGUUAAUGUGAACACUCAUCUUUCUCAUUGUGAAAAGGAAAAGGAAGAGUAAAGGAAUAUUAUUUUCUUGUCUUCUGAUUUCUCAG